UUGACCUCUAAUAUAUUAAAUAGUAGCCUGAUGCAGUGGCUCACUCCUGUAAUCCCAGCACUUUGGGAGGCUGAGGCGGACAGAUCACUUGAGUGGACUGAAAUCGGCGUGUCCCAAGGUUCCCAUGUCAGCUGGCUUCCUGCUGAGUGCAGGCCCUGGGAGGUUCUGGCAAGAGAUUGGUGAAUAGAAGAAAGGGAGAAGCCCAGGUUUACAUGACUUCUAGAUGAAGGAGGUAUUAGCUAAAAGGAACACUAACAACCAGAAAGUAUCAGAAACCAGAGAAGAGCAAGCACAAGAAUGAACAAGGGGUAUUUAGUCUGGAGGAAAGAAGAUGUAGGAAGAACAUGAUGACUGAUGUCAAGGGCAAGAAGGACCACUAAAUGGAAGACAAAUCAGGCCUCAUUGUGGGCCUCUAGAAAGCAAAAACAAAAGCCAAUGAGUAUAAUUAUACAGACUUAGGAGAAAGCUCAGUAUAGGGAAGAACUGUGUAGCUACUUUCACUGUCUGAAGUGGAGUGGGCCGCUUGCAGACAAAGUGAUUCCCCCAUCACUUCAAGUGUGCAAGCAGAAGCUGGUCAUUCAC